AAGGGUAUAGCUCAGUGGUACAGUGCAUGCUUGGCAUGCACGCGGUCCUGGGUUCAAUCCUCAGCACCUCCA
rnacentral:tRNA from 1 species